rnacentral:rRNA from 1 species
UGGGGAAUAUUGGACAAUGGGCGCAAGCCUGAUCCAGCCAUGCCGCGUGUGUGAAGAAGGCCUUCGGGUUGUAAAGCACUUUUGUCCGGAAAGAAAAGCAUUCGAUUAAUACUCGGGUGUUAUGACGGUACCGGAAGAAUAAGCACCGGCUAACUUCGUGCCAGCAGCCGCGGUAAUACGAAGGGUGCAAGCGUUACUCGGAAUUACUGGGCGUAAAGCGUGCGUAGGUGGUUUGUUAAGUCUGAUGUGAAAGCCCUGGGCUCAACCUGGGAACUGCAUUGGAAACUGGCUGACUAGAGUGCGGUAGAGGGGUGUGGAAUUCCCGGUGUAGCAGUGAAAUGCGUAGAUAUCGGGAGGAACAUCUGUGGCGAAGGCGACACCCUGGACCAGCACUGACACUGAGGCACGAAAGCGUGGGGAGCAAACAGG